CACGCAGGCGGUCUUAUCAGUCAGAUGUGAAAGCCCGGGGCUCAACCCCGGACGUGCAUUUGAAACAGUAAGACUUGAGUACGAGAGAGGAAAGCGGAAUUCCUGGUGUAGAGGUGAAAUUCGUAGAUAUCAGGAGGAACACCGGUGGCGAAGGCGGCUUUCUGGACCGAUACUGACGCUGAGGUGCGAAGGCGUGGGGAGCGAACAGGAUUAGAUACCCUGGUAGUCC
rnacentral:rRNA from 1 species